CCUAUGGGAUGCAGCAGGCGCGAAAACUUUACAAUGCUGGCAACAGCGAUAAGGGAACCUCGAGUGCCAGGUUACAAAUCUGGCUGUCGAGAUGCCUAAAAAGCAUUUCAUAGCAAGGGCCGGGCAAGACCGGUGCCAGCCGCCGCGGUAACACCGGCGGCUCGAGUGGUGAGCGGUAUUUCUGGGUUAGGGGUGAAAUCUUGUAAUCCUUGAAGGACCACCAGUGGCGAAGGCGUCUCACCAGAACGGACCUGACGGCAAGGGACGAAAGCUAGGGGCACGAACCGGAUUAGAUACCCACGUAGUCC
rnacentral:rRNA from 1 species